GCUGAGCGAGCUGUUAAGGAAAAGGGAGACGGAGAUUCAUUGAAAAAGAGCACAAAAAGCGAUAUAUAAGAGUCAGAGGUCGGAGGCGGCGCCAUUUUGUGUUGCGCUGUCCUCUCGUGAGAUCGGUCAGGUUUUUUUUUCUUGCUUUGUUUUGUUUGUGAUGUGAUGGCGAGCCAAUCCCACAGACGAGCCAGACAACUUCUUCCCGUGCUGCCCUGCACAGUGCGGUAGGCCAGCUGCGACAAGGAUCUCUGCCACACCAUUCUGCACCUG